rnacentral:rRNA from 1 species
GAUGAACGCUGGCGGCGUGCCUAAUACAUGCAAGUCGAGCGAACAGACGAGGAGCUUGCUCCUCUGACGUUAGCGGCGGACGGGUGAGUAACACGUGGAUAACCUACCUAUAAGACUGGGAUAACUUCGGGAAACCGGAGCUAAUACCGGAUAAUAUAUUGAACCGCAUGGUUCAAUAGUGAAAGACGGUUUUGCUGUCACUUAUAGAUGGAUCCGCGCCGCAUUAGCUAGUUGGUAAGGUAACGGCUUACCAAGGCAACGAUGCGUAGCCGACCUGAGAGGGUGAUCGGCCACACCGGAACUGAGACACGGUCCAGACUCCUACGGGAGGCAGCAGUAGGGAAUCUUCCGCAAUGGGCGAAAGCUUGACGGAGCAACGCCGCGUGAGUGAUGAAGGUCUUCGGAUCGUAAAACUCGGUUAUUAGGGAAGAACAAAUGUGUAAGUAACUAUGCACGUCUUGACGGUACCUAAUCAGAAAGCCACGGCUAACUACGUG